rnacentral:tRNA from 1 species
GGGGGAUUAGCUCAGCUGGUAGAGCAGCGGACUCUUAAUCCGUUUGUCGACAGUUCGAUCCUGUCAUCCCCUACCA